GGGGAAUAUUGCACAAUGGAGGAAACUCUGAUGCAGCGAUGCCGCGUGAGGGAAGAAGGUUUUAGGAUUGUAAACCUCUGUCUUCGGGGACGAAAAAAAGACGGUACCUGAGGAGGAAGCUCCGGCUAACUACGUGCCAGCAGCCGCGGUAAUACGUAGGGAGCGAGCGUUGUCCGGAAUUACUGGGUGUAAAGGGAGCGUAGGCGGGAUCGCAAGUCAGAUGUGAAAACUAUGGGCUUAACCCAUAAACUGCAUUUGAAACUGUGGUUCUUGAGUGAAGUAGAGGUAAGCGGAAUUCCUAGUGUAGCGGUGAAAUGCGUAGAUAUUAGGAGGAACAUCAGUGGCGAAGGCGGCUUACUGGGCUUUAACUGACGCUGAGGCUCGAAAGCGUGGGGAGCAAACAGGAUUAGAUACCCUGGUAGUCCACGCCGUAAACGAUGAUUACUAGGUGUGGGGGGACUGACCCCUUCCGUGCCGCAGCAAACGCAAUAAGUAAUCCACCUGGGGAGUACGACCGCAAGGUUGAAACUCAAAGGAAUUGACGGGGGCCCGCACAAGCAGUGGAGUAUGUGGAUUAAUUCGAAGCAACGCGAAGAACCUUACCAGGUCUUGACAUCGUAUGCAUAGCUCAGAGAUGAGUGAAAUCUCUUCGGAGACAUAUAGACAGGUGGUGCAUGGUUGUCGUCAGCUCGUGUCGUGAGAUGUUGGGUUAAGUCCCGCAACGAGCGCAACCCUUACUGUUAGUUGCUACGCAAGAGCACUCUAGCAGGACUGCCGUUGACAAAACGGAGGAAGGUGGGGAUGACGUCAAAUCAUCAUGCCCCUUAUGACCUGGGCCUCACACGUACUACAAUGGCUGUCAACAGAGGGAUGCAAAGCCGCGAGGUGGAGCAAAUCCCAAAAAUAACGUCUCAGUUCGGACUGCAGUCUGCAACUCGACUGCACGAAGCUGGAAUCGCUAGUAAUCGCGAAUCAGAAUGUCGCGGUGAAUACGUUCCCG
rnacentral:rRNA from 1 species